AAUUGAUAAAUGGAACUGAAAGAACCUAGUGGGGAAACCCCCACUCAACUCCCGAUUUGGCGUGCACCCAAGAAUCACGAACAGACCG
rnacentral:pre_miRNA from 7 species